UACAGAGGUCUCAAGCGUUGUUCGGAUUUAUUGGGCGUAAAGAGCGUGUAGGCGGCCAGGUAGGUCUGCUGUGAAAACUCGAGGCUCAACCUCGAGACGUCGGCGGAAACCAUCUGGCUAGAGUCCGGAAGAGGAGAGUGGAAUUCCUGGUGUAGCGGUGAAAUGCGUAGAUAUCAGGAGGAACACCGGUGGCGAAGGCGGGUCUCUGGGCCGAUACUGACGCUGAGGAGCGAAAGCGUGGGGAGCGAACAGG
rnacentral:rRNA from 1 species